rnacentral:RNase_P_RNA from 1 species
CAAGCAGGUCAGGCGACCGCGGUCGGCCGUACGGCCGGCUGAGGAAAGUCCGAGCUCCGCAGAGCACGGUGCUGGGUAACGCCCAGGCGGGGUGACCCGACGGAAAGUGCCACAGAAAACAGACCGCCGGCCAUCGGCCGGUAAGGGUGAAACGGUGGUGUAAGAGACCACCAGCAGUCCGGGUGACCGGGCUGGCUAGGCAAACCCCACCGGGAGCAAGGCCAAAUAUGGGGGUGCGGCGCUUCGGCGCCAGGGGGUUGCUCGCCCUCUGCCCCCGGGUAGGCCGCUUGAGGCUGUCGGCAACGGCAGUCCCAGAGAGAUGGUCGCCACCCAGCCGUCGGCUGGGGACAGAACUCGGCUUAUCGACCUGCUUGGAGG